ensembl:snRNA U4atac minor spliceosomal RNA
ACUUUCCUUGUCUUGGGGUGGUUUGGGAAGCUCAAUGAACGUCUAGUGAGAGUUUCCCUGCUAGCACCAUAAUCAACACAUACGCACCACCUGAACUUUAUGUUCAGUCUCUGGUGCAAUUUUUGGAACC